AGAGUUUGAUCCUGGCUCAGGAUGAACGCUAGCGACAGGCCUAACACAUGCAAGUCGAGGGGCAGCAUAGAUUGCUUGCAAUCUGAUGGCGACCGGCGCACGGGUGCGUAACGCGUGUACAAUUUACCUUAUACAGGGGGAUAGCCCAGAGAAAUUUGGAUUAAUACCCCAUAGUAUUAUGAUCAGGCAUCUGGUUAUGAUUAAAGAUUUAUCGGUAUAAGAUGAGUACGCGUCCUAUUAGUUAGUUGGUAAGGUAACGGCUUACCAAGGCGAUGAUAGGUAGGGGUCCUGAGAGGGAGAUCCCCCACACUGGUACUGAGACACGGACCAGACUCCUACGGGAGGCAGCAGUGAGGAAUAUUGGACAAUGGUCGGAAGACUGAUCCAGCCAUGUCGCGUGCAGGAAGACGGCCUUAUGGGUUGUAAACUGCUUUUCUACAGGGAGAAACCCCCGGACGCGUUUCGGGUCUGACGGUACUGUAGGAAUAAACACCGGCUAACUCCGUGCCAGCAGCCGCGGUAAUACGGAGGGUGUAAGCGUUAUCCGGAAUCAUUGGGUUUAAAGGGUCCGUAGGCGGGCAGCUAAGUCAGGGGUGAAAUCCCACGGCUCAACCGUGGAACUGCCUUUGAUACUGGUAGUCUUGAGUUAUAGUGAAGUAGAUGGAAUGUGUAGUGUAGCGGUGAAAUGCAUAGAUAUUACACAGAACACCGAUUGCGAAGGCAGUCUACUAACUGUAAACUGACGCUAAUGGACGAAAGCGUGGGGAGCGAACAGGAUUAGAUACCCUGGUAGUCCACGCCGUAAACGAUGGAUACUAGCUGUUGGGGCGUAAGCUUCAGUGGCCAAGCAAAAGUGAUAAGUAUCCCACCUGGGGAGUACGUUCGCAAGAAUGAAACUCAAAGGAAUUGACGGGGGCCCGCACAAGCGGUGGAGCAUGUGGUUUAAUU
rnacentral:rRNA from 1 species